rnacentral:lncRNA from 1 species
CACAGGAGGUUCUGUGGACAGGGCUGGUGGAGCUCUGGCCACUUCCUCCGUAAACUAGAGACGUGAUCCCCAGGGCCAGGUCUGUCUCUGAGGUCCUACCAGCUGGGACAGGAGGAUGCAAUUCUCUCUCUAAAGUCGAGAGCUCACCACCCCGGGCGUUCGUCACUGCAGACAUCACUGCAGACACAGAGACGGCCAUUAGAGCUCACCACCCCGGGCGUUCGUCACUGCAGACAUCACUGCAGACACAGAGAAGGCCAUUAGAGCUCACCACCCCGGGCGUUCGUCACUGCAGACAUCACUGCAGACACAGAGACGGCCAUUAUGCAGCCUCACGUGGUCACUCCUGGGGGCGGUAGGAUAUUUUAUCCUAAAGAGAAAACACCUUAAAUUCUCACAUCAGCCACCCCCAUGGCGACUCUUAACACCUUAAUGUAGCACCUUCCAACUUUUCCUGGGCAUUUAUGUACAAAUUGUAAUAAAAUUGGGUUCUUACUGC